rnacentral:rRNA from 1 species
AGCGACCUCGCGAGAGCAAGCGGACCUCAUAAAGUAUGUCGUAGGCCGGAUUGGAGUCUGCAACUCGACUCCAUGAAGUCGGAAUCGCUAGUAAUCGUAGAUCAGAAUGCUACGGUGAAUACGUUCCCGGGCCUUGUACACACCGCCCGUCACACCAUGGGAGUGGGUUGCAAAAGAAGUAGGUAGCUUAACCUUCGGGAGGGCGCUUACCACUUUGUGAUUCAUGACUGGGGUGAAGUCGUAACAAGGUAACCGUAGGGGAACCUGCGGUUGGAUCACCUCCUUACCUUAAAGAA